rnacentral:rRNA from 1 species
GACGAACGCUGGCGGCGUGCCUAAUACAUGCAAGUAGAACGCUGAAGGAGGAGCUUGCUUCUCUGGAUGAGUUGCGAACGGGUGAGUAACGCGUAGGUAACCUGCCCGGUAGCGGGGGAUAACUAUUGGAAACGAUAGCUAAUACCGCAUAAUAGUAGAUGUUGCAUGACAUUUGCUUAAAAGGUGCAAUUGCAUCACUACCAGAUGGACCUGCGUUGUAUUAGCUAGUUGGUGGGGUAACGGCUCACCAAGGCGACGAUACAUAGCCGACCUGAGAGGGUGGUCGGCCACACUGGGACUGAGACACGGCCCAGACUCCUACGGGAGGCAGCAGUAGGGAAUCUUCGGCAAUGGACGGAAGUCUGACCGAGCAACGCCGCGUGAGUGAAGAAGGUUGUCGGAUCGUAAAGCUCUGUUGUAAGAGAAGAACGAGUGUGAGAGUGGAAAGUUCACACUGUGACGGUAUCUUACCAGAAAGGGACGGCUAACUACGUG